GAUGAACGCUGGCGGCGUGCCUAAUACAUGCAAGUCGAGCGAACGGACGAGAAGCUUGCUUCUCUGAUGUUAGCGGCGGACGGGUGAGUAACACGUGGAUAACCUACCUAUAAGACUGGGAUAACUUCGGGAAACCGGAGCUAAUACCGGAUAAUAUUUUGAACCGCAUGGUUCAAAAGUGAAAGACGGUCUUGCUGUCACUUAUAGAUGGAUCCGCGCUGCAUUAGCUAGUUGGUAAGGUAACGGCUUACCAAGGCAACGAUGCAUAGCCGACCUGAGAGGGUGAUCGGCCACACUGGAACUGAGACACGGUCCAGACUCCUACGGGAGGCAGCAGUAGGGAAUCUUCCGCAAUGGGCGAGAGCCUGACGGAGCAACGCCGCGUGAGUGAUGAAGGUCUUCGGAUCGUAAAACUCUGUUAUUAGGGAAGAACAUAUGUGUAAGUAACUGUGCACAUCUUGACGGUACCUAAUCAGAAUGCCACGGCUAACUACGUG
rnacentral:rRNA from 1 species